rnacentral:tmRNA from 1 species
GGGGGUGAUCGGUUUCGACGGUGAUCGUCGAUCCAGGGGAAGCGGGCCGAGGAUGCAUGGUCAUCUCGUCAACGCUCCAUGCAAACCUAUAGGUGCCGAUUCCAAGCGCACCGACUUCGCCCUCGCCGCCUGAGCGAGCCUCGAAGUCCGUCAGCCUGAGCUAGCUUCCGACUCAGAUCCUGGCGUCAUCUAGGGAGCCACUGCUCGUAGUCUUCGUCAUCGGGGCUGCGGGGACUUUCAGGUGACUGGGCCCGUCCACCACUUGUCCGCGUGAGGGUGGGGGCCGAGAAAAGCAGCAGCGGACUGCGCCCGGAGAAGCCCUGGUUCCACGUCAUCGGACGCGGGUUCGAUUCCCGCCACCUCCAC